rnacentral:rRNA from 1 species
CCUACGGGAGGCAGCAGUCGAGAAUUUUUCACAAUGGUCGCAAGACUGAUGGAGCGACGCCGCGUGGAGGAUGAAGGUUUUCGGAUUGUAAACUCCUGUCACUGCAGAACAAGGGUAUCACGGUUAAUAACUGUGGUGUUUGAUGGUAUGCGGAGAGGAAGGGACGGCUAACUCUGUGCCAGCAGCCGCGGUAAU